rnacentral:rRNA from 1 species
UAUUGCACAAUGGGGGAAACCCUGAUGCAGCGACGCCGCGUGAAGGAAGAAGUAUCUCGGUAUGUAAACUUCUAUCAUGAGGGAAGAAAAUGACGGUACCUGACUAAGCAGCCCCGGCUAACUACGUGCCCGCUGCCGCGGUAAUACGUAGGGGGCAAGCGUUAUCCGGAUUUACUGGGUGUAAAGGGAGCGUAGACGGAAGAGCAAGUCUGAUGUGAAAGGAUGAGGCUUAACCCCAGGACUGCAUUGGAAACUGUUGUUCUAGAGUGCCGGAGAGGUAAGCGGAAUUCCUAGUGUAGCGGUGAAAUGCGUAGAUAUUAGGAGGAACACCAGUGGCGAAGGCGGCUUACUGGACGGUAACUGACGUUGAGGCUCGAAAGCGUGGGGAGCAAACA